rnacentral:sRNA from 2 species
CGGGGACCGCCGCCUAAUCGCAGAUCCUGAGAAUUCUGAGCGAGCCGGGGAUCCACAUUCUUCCGGGGUGAAUCCGCGCCAGCGGUAGGGGUUUCCUUCGUCCCGAACCCGUCAGCUAACCCGGCCGGCGGCCGACGGAAGGAAAU